CCUACGGGUGGCAGCAGUGGGGAAUAUUGCACAAUGGGGGCAACCCUGAUGCAGCGACGCCGCGUGAGUGAGGAAGUAUUUCGGUAUGUAAAGCUCUAUCAGCAGGGAAGAAAAUGACGUUACCUGACUAAUAAGGCCCGGAUAACUACGAGCCAGCAGCCGCGGUAAUACGUAGGGGGCAAGCGUUAUCCGGAUUUACUGGGGGUAAAGUGAGCGUAGACGGUUAAUCAAGUCAGAAGUGAAAACCCAGGGCUCAACCUUGGGAGUGCUUUGGAAACUGAGUAGCUAGAGUGCAGGAGAGGUGAGCGGAAUUCGUAGUGUAGCGGUGAAAUGCGUAGAUAUUAGGAGGAACACCAGUGGCGAAGGCGGCUUACUGGACUGUAACUGACGUUGAGGCUCGAAAGCGUGGGGAGCAAACAGGAUUAGAUACCCUGGUAGUC
rnacentral:rRNA from 1 species